CAGAUGCUGAGAAAAUACAGAUUUGGGAGCCCUGAACAAAACAGGAAAAGGAAGACGUUUAGUCCAAGCCAAGAUUCCAGCUGUAGAAAAUACAUCGGUUUUCAGCUUUCAGUUUUGAUGGGUUACCUAUGUUUAUCUUUGACAGCUGUAGCUGAAGUCCGAUGAUGAAGAAGUACGUUUUGGAGAUGGCAGAGGCUGGAGGGUGCUGAAGCAGUUCUAGUCUUUCUUGCAGGGCAAGGCAAAACCAUUCUCCUCAUCACCACAGCUCACAGGAACUGAAAGCUAGGGACUAAGAAGAGGGUUUUAAAGAAGUGACAUGGAUGGCUCCAGUAGGAGCACAGGAUCUGAGCCCCUUAGGAUUAGACCACAAAAAUAAAAUUGCUGUAGGUCUGUGCCUCA